rnacentral:rRNA from 1 species
GAGUUUGAUCCUGGCUCAGAACGAACGCUGGCGGCGUGGAUAAGACAUGCAAGUCGAACGGGACUUGAUUGGUAGUAAUACUCGUCAAGUCUAGUGGCAAACGGGUGCGUAACACGUGAGUAAUCUGCCGGGAAGUGGGGGAUAGCUCGCCGAAAGGCGAAUUAAUACCGCAUAUGGCUAGGGAGGACAUCCUCCCGACGCCAAAGUCGCAAGACGCUUCCUGAUGAGCUCGCGGCCUAUCAGCUUGUUGGUGAGGUAACGGCUCACCAAGGCUAUGACGGGUAGCUGGUCUGAGAGGAC